AUCUAUGUGCCUGUACACACACAGUUAUCUGUGCAGAGAGCUGCACAACUCCAGCCUCUGGCUGCAAUACAGAUCUAACAGCAGAAACAUACCGAAAGCGACUGCAAACUCUCCAAAUCAUCACUCCUCUCACCGAGCACAUUUUAUGGUAAGGAUUACACAAUCAUAGCCUCUUCUAAGCACAGGAGAUACAGCAUGUACAAGCUCCAGCCAUUGUAGGAAAUCUUGCCAUUGCAGCUCCUACGCACAGAUCCAGCCAUGUAUAUUCCAUACAGAGAGAACACUGCACAAUUAUUAAUCAUCUGCAGUAUAAUGAACU